rnacentral:rRNA from 1 species
UUAAGCGACUAAGCGUACACGGUGGAUGCCCUGGCAGUCAGAGGCGAUGAAGGACGUGCUAAUCUGCGAUAAGCGUCGGUAAGGUGAUAUGAACCGUUAUAACCGGCGAUUUCCGAAUGGGGAAACCCAGUGUGUUUCGACACACUAUCAUUAACUGAAUCCAUAGGUUAAUGAGGCGAACCGGGGGAACUGAAACAUCUAAGUACCCCGAGGAAAAGAAAUCAACCGAGAUUCCCCCAGUAGCGGCGAGCGAACGGGGAGCAGCCCAGAGCCUGAAUCAGUGUGUGUGUUAGUGGAAGCGUCUGGAAAGGCGCGCGAUACAGGGUGACAGCCCCGUACACAAAAAUGCACAUGCUGUGAGCUCGAUGAGUAGGGCGGGACACGUGGUAUCCUGUCUGAAUAUGGGGGGACCAUCCUCCAAGGCUAAAUACUCCUGACUGACCGAUAGUGAACCAGUACCGUGAGGGAAAGGCGAAAAGAACCCCGGCGAGGGAGUGAAAAGAACCUGAAACCGUGUACGUACAAGCAGUGGGAGCACGCUUAGGCGUGUGACUGCGUACCUUUUGUAUAAUGGGUCAGCGACUUAUAUUCUGUAGCAAGGUUAACCGAAUAGGGGAGCCGAAGGGAAACCGAGUCUUAACUGGGCGUUAAGUUGCAGGGUAUAGACCCGAAACCCGGUGAUCUAGCCAUGGGCAGGUUGAAGGUUGGGUAACACUAACUGGAGGACCGAACCGACUAAUGUUGAAAAAUUAGCGGAUGACUUGUGGCUGGGGGUGAAAGGCCAAUCAAACCGGGAGAUAGCUGGUUCUCCCCGAAAGCUAUUUAGGUAGCGCCUCGUGAAUUCAUCUCCGGGGGUAGAGCACUGUUUCGGCAAGGGGGUCAUCCCGACUUACCAACCCGAUGCAAACUGCGAAUACCGGAGAAUGUUAUCACGGGAGACACACGGCGGGUGCUAACGUCCGUCGUGAAGAGGGAAACAACCCAGACCGCCAGCUAAGGUCCCAAAGUCAUGGUUAAGUGGGAAACGAUGUGGGAAGGCCCAGACAGCCAGGAUGUUGGCUUAGAAGCAGCCAUCAUUUAAAGAAAGCGUAAUAGCUCACUGGUCGAGUCGGCCUGCGCGGAAGAUGUAACGGGGCUAAACCAUGCACCGAAGCUGCGGCAGCGACGCUUAUGCGUUGUUGGGUAGGGGAGCGUUCUGUAAGCCUGUGAAGGUGUACUGUGAGGUAUGCUGGAGGUAUCAGAAGUGCGAAUGCUGACAUAAGUAACGAUAAAGCGGGUGAAAAGCCCGCUCGCCGGAAGACCAAGGGUUCCUGUCCAACGUUAAUCGGGGCAGGGUGAGUCGACCCCUAAGGCGAGGCCGAAAGGCGUAGUCGAUGGGAAACAGGUUAAUAUUCCUGUACUUGGUGUUACUGCGAAGGGGGGACGGAGAAGGCUAUGUUGGCCGGGCGACGGUUGUCCCGGUUUAAGCGUGUAGGCUGGUUUUCCAGGCAAAUCCGGAAAAUCAAGGCUGAGGCGUGAUGACGAGGCACUACGGUGCUGAAGCAACAAAUGCCCUGCUUCCAGGAAAAGCCUCUAAGCAUCAGGUAACAUCAAAUCGUACCCCAAACCGACACAGGUGGUCAGGUAGAGAAUACCAAGGCGCUUGAGAGAACUCGGGUGAAGGAACUAGGCAAAAUGGUGCCGUAACUUCGGGAGAAGGCACGCUGAUAUGUAGGUGAAGUCCCUCGCGGAUGGAGCUGAAAUCAGUCGAAGAUACCAGCUGGCUGCAACUGUUUAUUAAAAACACAGCACUGUGCAAACACGAAAGUGGACGUAUACGGUGUGACGCCUGCCCGGUGCCGGAAGGUUAAUUGAUGGGGUUAGCGCAAGCGAAGCUCUUGAUCGAAGCCCCGGUAAACGGCGGCCGUAACUAUAACGGUCCUAAGGUAGCGAAAUUCCUUGUCGGGUAAGUUCCGACCUGCACGAAUGGCGUAAUGAUGGCCAGGCUGUCUCCACCCGAGACUCAGUGAAAUUGAACUCGCUGUGAAGAUGCAGUGUACCCGCGGCAAGACGGAAAGACCCCGUGAACCUUUACUAUAGCUUGACACUGAACAUUGAGCCUUGAUGUGUAGGAUAGGUGGGAGGCUUUGAAGUGUGGACGCCAGUCUGCAUGGAGCCGACCUUGAAAUACCACCCUUUAAUGUUUGAUGUUCUAACGUGGACCCGUAAUCCGGGUUGCGGACAGUGUCUGGUGGGUAGUUUGACUGGGCGGUCUCCUCCUAAAGAGUAACGGAGGAGCACGAAGGUUGGCUAAUCCUGGUCGGACAUCAGGAGGUUAGUGCAAUGGCAUAAGCCAGCUUGACUGCGAGCGUGACGGCGCGAGCAGGUGCGAAAGCAGGUCAUAGUGAUCCGGUGGUUCUGAAUGGAAGGGCCAUCGCUCAACGGAUAAAAGGUACUCCGGGGAUAACAGGCUGAUACCGCCCAAGAGUUCAUAUCGACGGCGGUGUUUUGGCACCUCGAUGUCGGCUCAUCACAUCCUGGGGCUGAAGUAGGUCCCAAGGGUAUGGCUGUUCGCCAUUUAAAGUGGUACGCGAGCUGGGUUUAGAACGUCGUGAGACAGUUCGGUCCCUAUCUGCCGUGGGCGCUGGAGAAUUGAGGGGGGCUGCUCCUAGUACGAGAGGACCGGAGUGGACGCAUCACUGGUGUUCGGGUUGUCAUGCCAAUGGCACUGCCCGGUAGCUAAAUGCGGAAGAGAUAAGUGCUGAAAGCAUCUAAGCACGAAACUUGCCCCGAGAUGAGUUCUCCCUGACUCCUUGAGAGUCCUGAAGGAACGUUGAAGACGACGACGUUGAUAGGCCGGGUGUGUAAGCGCAGCGAUGCGUUGAGCUAACCGGUACUAAUGAACCGUGAGGCUUAACCUU